AUGGAACCCUUCUCCACUUCGGCCUUCAAAGUUCUCGUUUUUGUACGACGGCUCCAUGAGUUUGUAUCACUGUGGUACACGUUCGGUGGAGGAACCAGACUGGAUGUUGACUUGGGUCGAGUCACCCCCACCCUGACGGUGCUGCCCCCCUCCAGCGAGGAGCUGCAGCAGGGGAAGGCCACGCUCAUAUGUCUGGCCAACAAGGGCUACCCCUCAGACUGGAGUCUGGCCUGGAAGGUGGACGGCAGCAGCAGCAGCAGCAGCGGGGAGGAGAGCAGGAGCCCUGGGGUGCUGCAGAAGGACGGCCGCUAUAGCUGGAGCAGCACCCUGAGGCUCCCUGCAGACCAGUGGAGGAAGGUGGGCUCUGUGACCUGUGAGGCCACCCAGGGCUCCCAGACUCCAGUCUCAGAGACACUGAGGAGAGACCAGUGUUCCCAGUCCUGACCUGACUCAUUGGGACUCUGCUACUGGUUUUACUCUGCUACUGCUUUCAGUCUGCACUUUGUCUGAUUCUUUCUCUCGUUGCAUGUUUCAACAUUUAAGUGUUCUGGUUUGCUGUAAUGUUGAAUGUUUCAAAGUUUUAAAACAAUAAAGUUUCAUCAAAAAUGCAACUGUCAAGGUGUAUUUUACAAUAA